AAAGUCGUAACAAGGUCUCCGUAGGUGAACCUGCGGAGGGAUCAUUACAGAGUUGAAAGACUCCCAAACCCACUGUGAACAUACCGAUCUGUUGCUUCGGCAGGCGGCCCCAGGGCGGGGCCACCGCCUUCUCGGCGCCUGCCGGAGGACCUCAAACUCUCUGUUACAGUUACCUGAGUACAAGACCCAAUAAGUCAAAACCUUCAACAACGGAUCUCUUGGUUCUG
rnacentral:misc_RNA from 1 species